rnacentral:tRNA from 1 species
GCUUGGCUGGCUCAGUCAGUAGAGCAUGUAACUCUUGAUUUCAGGGUUGUAAGUUCAAGCCCCACGUUGAACA